rnacentral:tRNA from 1 species
UCCCAGGUGGCUCAGUGGUAAAGAAUCUGCCUGCAAAGCAGGAGACCCCGGUUCAAUCCCUGGGUCAGGAA